UUGACAGACUGAUUUGGGGAAAGUAUGUGUUAGAAGUAAAGUGUGUAGACAAGAAAGUGUUGAAAAGAAAAGGAGAAAUAAAAGUGGGUCGAAAAGAAAAAAAAAAGAGUUUCGUAAGUUUUUAGAGUUCUUUAUGGCUUUUGAUUUUUUUUCUUCACAAUUCAAAAAGAUUUUUUACCUUUCGCACUCAUUUUCUCAAAAACAUCCAAAAGAUUUUCCUUUUGUUCCUUCAUCAUGCAUUCAUAAUUCGAAAAUUUUAAAAAGAUUUUUUUUUCAACUAGGAGCUUUUUAUGAAAGGA
rnacentral:lncRNA from 1 species